rnacentral:lncRNA from 1 species
UAUGUAUGUGCCUGUCCCAAGUCAGGAGCCUGUAAUUCAGUGGUUGUCGUUUGUUUAUGUGUUACAUAUUUGUUUUUCGUUCAUUUUUUUACAUAAAUAAGGCCGUUAGUUUUCUCGUUUGAAUUGUUUUACAUUGUCUUAUCGAGGCCUUUCAUAGCUCACUAUGCGGUAUGGGCUUUGCUUAUUGUUGAAGGCCGUACGGUGACCUAUAGUUGUUAAUGUCUGUGUCAUUUUGGUCUUUUGUGGAUAGUUGUGUCAUUGGCAAUCAUACCACAUCU